AUUGAACGCUGGCGGCAGGCCUAACACAUGCAAGUCGAGCGGAGCGGCGGACGGGUGAGUAAUGCUUAGGAAUUUGCCUGGUCGUGGGGGAUAACGUCCGGAAACGGGCGCUAAUACCGCAUACUAUCAGCAUAGCCUAGGUCGGAUUAGCUAGUUGGUGGGGUAAAGGCCUACCAGGGCGACGAUCCGUAACUGGUCUGAGAGGAUGAUCAUUCACACUGGAACUGAGACACGGGCCAGACUCCUACGGGAGGCAGCAGUGGGGAAUAUUGGACAAUGGGCGAAAGCCUGAUCAAGCCAUGCCGCGUGUGUGAAGAAGGUCUUCGGAUUGUAAAGCACUUUAAGUUGGGAGGCGUUACCAACAGAAGAAGCACCGGCUAACUUCGUGCCAGCAGCCGCGGUAAUAC
rnacentral:rRNA from 1 species